UAGUCCACGCUGUAAACGAUGAAUGCUAGGUGUUGGCGCGAAAGCGUCGGUGCCGCAGUUAACGCAAUAAGCAUUCCACCUGGGGAGUACGACCGCAAGGUUGAAACUCAAAGGAAUUGACGGGGCCCCGCACAAGCGGUGGAGCAUGUGGUUUAAUUCGAUGCAACGCGAAGAACCUUACCAAGUCUUGACAUCCCUUUGACGUCUUUAGAGAUAGAGAUUUUCUUUGGAACAAAGGAGAC
rnacentral:rRNA from 1 species